rnacentral:tRNA from 1 species
UCCUCCUUAGCUCAGUAGGUAGAGCGCAUGACUGUUAAUCAUGAUGCCGUUGGUUCGAGCCCGACAGGGGGAGCCA